rnacentral:rRNA from 1 species
UACGUAGGGGGCAAGCGUUGUCCGGAUUUAUUGGGCGUAAAGCGCUCGCAGGCGGCUUGCUACGUCGUGCGUGAAACACCCCGGCUCAACUGGGGAGGGUCGUGCGAUACGGGCAGGCUGGAGGCCAGUAGGGGGAUGCGGAAUUCCGGGUGUAGUGGUGGAAUGCGUAGAGAUCCGGAGGAACACCAGCGGCGAAGGCGGCAUCCUGGACUGGUACUGACGCUCAGGAGCGAAGGCCUAGGGGGAGCGAACGGGG